GACGAACCGUGCGAACGUUAUUCGGAAUCACUGGGCUUAAAGCGCGUGUAGGCGGGACGGCACGUCGGUCGCUGAAAGCCCCCGGCUCAACCGGGGAACGGGCGCCGAUACGACCGCCCUGGAGGAACGUAGGGGGACCUGGAACUUCCGGUGGAGCGGUGAAAUGCGUUGAGAUCGGAAGGAACGCCCGUGGCGAAAGCGAGGUCCUGGACGUUUUACUGACGCUGAGACGCGAAAGCCAGGGGAGCGAACGGG
rnacentral:rRNA from 1 species